AACCCCCAAACUUCGUUCCACAGAUAAAGACCACUUGUGGACGUUGUGGUUGCUUCGUUCGUUCGCAAUUUCGGCAUUUUGGUGAUUUCGAUGAUCACGCCGGCGUCUGUCUAUGGGGUUCUGUCGUCUGUGCAAUUCAGUUUUCAAGAAAAGUUGAACAACCAUUCACCAUGAUUUGAAAUAAAAAAUCGCGAUGGAAGCCUACCUUUCCUGACGACAAGGAUUUUUUUGGAUUGAAGUUGCGAUAACUCUAACGAGGGUUAUCGCAAAAAAACAAAAAACAAAA